rnacentral:misc_RNA from 1 species
GAUGAAGAAUGCAGCGAAAUGCGAUACGUAAUGUGAAUUGCAAAUUCAGUGAAUCAUCGAGUCUUUGAACGCACAUUGCGCCCCCUGGUAUUCCGGGGGGCAUGCCUGUCCGAGCGUCAUUGCUGCCCUCAAGCACGGCUUGUGUGUUGGGCCCCGUCCUCCGAUUCCGGGGGACGGGCCCGAAAGGCAGCGGCGGCACCGCGUCCGGUCCUCGAGCGUAUGGGGCUUUGUCACCCGCUCUGUAGGCCCGGCCGGCGCUUGCCGAUCAACCCAAAUUUUUAUCCAGGUUGACCUCGGAUCAGGUAGGGAUACCCGCUGAACUUAAGCAUAUCAAUAAGCGGAGGA